rnacentral:rRNA from 1 species
AGAGUUUGAUCCUGGCUCAGGACGAACGCUGGCGGCGUGCUUAACACAUGCAAGUCGAACGGGAGUAUCGAAGAAGCUUGCUUUUAAGAUACUUUAGUGGCGGACGGGUGAGUAACGCGUGAGGAGCUGUCCUAUGCAGGGGGACAACAGUUGGAAACGACUGCUAAUACCCCAUAAGCCGAGAGGUAAAAGGAGCGAUCCGGCAGAGGAGGUACUCGCGUCCUAUCAGCUAGUAGGUGAGGUAACGGCUCACCUAGGCGAAGACGGGUAGCCGGCCUGAGAGGGCGAACGGCCACACUGGAACUGAGAUACGGUCCAGACUCCUACGGGAGGCAGCAGUGGGGAAUAUUGCACAAUGGGCGAAAGCCUGAUGCAGCGAUGCCGCGUGAGGGAAGAAGGUCUUCGGAUUGUAAACCUCUGUUUUCAGGGACGAUAAUGACGGUACCUGAGGAGGAAGCUCCGGCUAACUACGUGCCAGCAGCCGCGGUAAUA